GAUGAACGCUAGCUACAGGCUUAACACAUGCAAGUCGAGGGGCAGCAUGGUCUUAGCUUGCUAAGGCCGAUGGCGACCGGCGCACGGGUGAGUAACACGUAUCCAACCUGCCGUCUACUCUUGGACAGCCUUCUGAAAGGAAGAUUAAUACAAGAUGGCAUCAUGAGUCCGCAUGUUCACAUGAUUAAAGGUAUUCCGGUAGACGAUGGGGAUGCGUUCCAUUAGAUAGUAGGCGGGGUAACGGCCCACCUAGUCUUCGAUGGAUAGGGGUUCUGAGAGGAAGGUCCCCCACAUUGGAACUGAGACACGGUCCAAACUCCUACGGGAGGCAGCAGUGAGGAAUAUUGGUCAAUGGGCGAGAGCCUGAACCAGCCAAGUAGCGUGAAGGAUGACUGCCCUAUGGGUUGUAAACUUCUUUUAUAAAGGAAUAAAGUCGGGUAUGGAUACCCGUUUGCAUGUACUUUAUGAAUAAGGAUCGGCUAACUCCGUGCCAGCAGCCGCGGUAAUACGGAGGAUCCGAGCGUUAUCCGGAUUUAUUGGGUUUAAAGGGAGCGUAGAUGGAUGUUUAAGUCAGUUGUGAAAGUUUGCGGCUCAACCGUAAAAUUGCAGUUGAUACUGGAUAUCUUGAGUGCAGUUGAGGCAGGCGGAAUUCGUGGUGUAGCGGUGAAAUUCUUAGAUAUCACGAAGAACUCCGAUUGCGAAGGCAGCCUGCUAAGCUGCAACUGACAUUGAGGCUCGAAAGUGUGGGUAUCGAACAGGAUUAGAUACCCUGGUAGUCCACACGGUAAACGAUGAAUACUCGCUGUUUGCGAUAUACUGCAAGCGGCCAAGCGAAAGCGUUAAGUAUUCCACCUGGGGAGUACGCCGGCAACGGUGAAACUCAAAGGAAUUGACGGGGGCCCGCACAAGCGGAGGAACAUGUGGUUUAAUUCGAUGAUACGCGAGGAACCUUACCCGGGCUUAAAUUGCAGAUGAAUUACGGUGAAAGCCGUAAGCCGCAAGGCAUCUGUGAAGGUGCUGCAUGGUUGUCGUCAGCUCGUGCCGUGAGGUGUCGGCUUAAGUGCCAUAACGAGCGCAACCCUUGUUGUCAGUUACUAACAGGUUCCGCUGAGGACUCUGACAAGACUGCCAUCGUAAGAUGUGAGGAAGGUGGGGAUGACGUCAAAUCAGCACGGCCCUUACGUCCGGGGCUACACACGUGUUACAAUGGGGGGUACAGAGGGCCGCUACCACGCGAGUGGAUGCCAAUCCCCAAAACCUCUCUCAGUUCGGACUGGAGUCUGCAACCCGACUCCACGAAGCUGGAUUCGCUAGUAAUCGCGCAUCAGCCACGGCGCGGUGAAUACGUUCCCGGGCCU
rnacentral:rRNA from 1 species